rnacentral:misc_RNA from 1 species
GUAUUGCGUUAACGCGGCGUACAUUCCAUAAGACUUUAUUACAGUGUGUGUGUAAAGAUGCAGAACCACAGAAGGAAGACAGGGUCCCCCAGACCAUAGAACUACAGAGGGUGCACAAGUGUGAGUGGAUGUGUAAACAGAGCGUGCACAUGCCCCCAUUUGGGGACCAGCAACAACUCGUGUCGACGACUCAGUAAUGAUCCUUCCGCAGGUUCACCUACGGAAACCUUGUUACGACUUUUACUUCCUCUAAAUGACCAAGA